rnacentral:lncRNA from 1 species
GUACGGAAUUUACUGUGAGGAAUUCAUAAUGACAGAGAGGAGGAGAAAGAGGGAUGUGAGCAAAUGACUGACUUAGUAGCUCCACCAUUUGUAACAGAUCUCAGCAUUGCCUUUUUGUUCCUGUGCACCUACUUUUGUUAAGGCUUCCAUGCAUAAAGAAAUAAGUGUGUGGUAGUUACCUCUACGCAGAAUGAAGAGCCCAAGGUUUAAUCUCAGUUGUGCAGUGAUGUAGUAUAAUUUAGAGAUUCAGAGAGAUGCAUGAAAUACAUCUAAAUUUAGAAUCUGACACAAUGGUGGUUGCUAGGAGCUCAAAAAGAAAUCAAGGAACAAAGGGAGUGGCUUUUGAAGUGGUUGAACUCAUUUACAGAAGCAGAAAGGCUGUGUCUUGUGAUGUGGACUCUGUGCUGCCAUAGACGAUUAGGAUGAAUGGCUAAAGGAUAGAGGGUAGCUCGGCAAAAAUGUCAUAAAAGCUAGAAUUCCAGGAGAGGCAGAGAGGUGACUUUCAUUACAAUGAGCCAGGACUCAAGUAUGAAAGUCACAUUAACAAUGCCUAAAUCUCGUGUCUAAUUUCCUGCCUAUUGAGUCAAAAAUUGUCUCCAGGUUUCACAUAAUGAUAAAUGGACCAUAUACCAUUUCAAUUGAUCUACAGCUAUAAACUCAUUCUACUAUUUAAGAUCCUCCAAACAAAACAACCUGUGAAAGAGAGACUACAGAGAAGAACAUCCAUGGCUAUUCGUCAGGUUUAUAGAAAAACAUCCCUGAAAAACAGGACAUGUUUAGUUAUUUAAGGAGAAAUGUAAAUGGAAAAAUACCCAAGGAAGCAGAGUAAUUAAAUGAUUUUCAAUGAUUUAAGUCUCAUUCAUUAUGUACUUUGCAUAAUCAUUUAAGAAAAAAAAUC